rnacentral:rRNA from 1 species
CAGCAGCCACGGGAAUACGUAGGUGGCAAGCGUUGUCCGGAAUUAUUGGGCGUAAAGGGCCCGCAGGCGGAUGGUACAGUCAGACGUGAAAUUCCUGGGCUCAACCUGGGGACUGCGUUUGAGACGUGCGAUCUAGAGUUUGGAAGAGGGUCGUGGAAUUCCCAGUGUAGAGGUGAAAUUCGUAGAUAUUGGGAAGAACACCGGUGGCGAAGGCGGCGACCUGGUCCUUGACUGACGCUGAGGCGCGAAAGCGUGGGGAGCAAACAGGAUUAGAGACCCCUGUAGUCCCUGUCUCUUAUAC